ensembl:lncRNA
GGUCGAUUAGAGCAACAUUUAAACUUCACAUAAUGCAAAAUGUGUCAAAACAACAACAACAACAACAACACGUCAGAUGGUCAGCUACUUAAUGUUAAUGAUAAUUUUCUGAUUCCAAACAAAAAUACUCUCAUUGAACAGCUGGAUCGUGUAUGUAGUGGAUCGUUUUCCCAUUCAAUGUUGACGUAUUUCGAUAGCUUCUGUCCAAAACCUGCUGAACAAACGGACCCAGAAUCAGAUCAUCUUUUUCAUGGGUUUUAUUUAUAAACAUAGAGUAUACUGUAAAGCCAUCGCAUUGGAACGACAAAGUAAUCUAUAUCCGGAUAGUGUACAUUUUUGAAGAUCACAAUAAAUAUACCUUAGAUUUGAUACCACUUCCAAGGUAGGUCAUUCAUCCUGUAGACCAGAUCAAACUGCAUCCGCUCUGCAUGUAGUCUAUACGCCUGUUAUGAAUAAUAGCUAAGCGACCCGACCCAAAGCGCAGGACACUGACUAUACAAGAAAUGAUGAGAGAAUAUUACAAGUCCAGUGAUCAAAAUUCUUGAAAGGUGAACAUUGAUUAAACGCUUUUGAGCUUUCCGCCCUUAUGUUCAGGUAUACAUACUGCGAAUAAAAAAAAGCUAUUGGUUAGACUGUGUUUAAGCAUGGCUAGUGGAGUGGUUUCUAGGCAGAUUAUAAACCGUUUCUAAAAUAAACAUAAGCACUGGUAUUGCUAUUUGUGUGCAGAAACAUGAGACCCUCAAGCGGUUUUUCAUUAACUCAUAUAUGGAUCACCCAAAGCCAGAUUUAGGUAAACAUACACAAAGUCUAAAGUACACUCUUAGAAUUAAAAAGGUACCAAUCUGUACUUUUUCCUUGCCUUGUCACUGGGGUGGUACCAUCACGAGUACAUCUUUUGUACCUUUUGUACAUUUCCUUUUACCUGGGAUAUGAUCGAAUGAUGUUCCUUCUAUUUAUUUUUUAUUAAGUAAGACUAAAGGUACAAAAGCUGUACUUGAUGGUACCGCCCCAGCGACAAGGAAAAGUACAGCUUGGUACCUUUAUUUCUGAGAAAACAGGGUUCUUGAGUGUGUAAAUGAAAAAUACACAUCGAAGGAUGCGUGCAGAGAUCAUAAAAACAGAUUUCCCAAAUCUCCCCAC